rnacentral:rRNA from 1 species
GACGCACGCUGGCGGCGUGCUUAACACAUGCAAGUCGAAAGAAGUGGCGAACGGGUGAGUAACGCGUAAUCAACCUGCCCUUCAGAGGGGGAUAACAGUUGGAAACGACUGCUAAUACCGCAUACUGAAGGGGGGGCUGGCGUUUGAUUAGCUAGUUGGAGGGGUAACGGCCCACCAAGGCGAUGAUCAGUAGCCGGUCUGAGAGGAUGAACGGCCACAUUGGAACUGAGACACGGCCCAGACUCCUACGGGAGGCAGCAGUGGCGAAUCUUCCGCAAUGGACGAAAGUCUGACGGAGCAACGCCGCGUGAGUGAUGACGGCCUUCGGGUUGUAAAGCUCUGUUAAUCGGGACGCGGUACCGGAAUAGAAAGCCACGGCUAACUACGUGCCAGCAGCCGCGGUAAUUC